UAUUUAUUUACUUUUCUUACUUCUGUAACAGCAAGUGCAGUAAAUAUUGUGUUACAUGAGAAUGACUGAUAGCAGAGAGACUGUUACAAGCCGUUCCUCUUAGUGCAAUGUAGGCUACUUUCUGUUAGUAAUACUUAAGAAAUAUUUCUCUCAAGUGUCAGCGUGAUCGCUUUCUUAUAACUAUUUUGUGCUAGAAUUACCUCGGCAAUGUAUGACUCUGCAAAUGAAAAAACUGAUGUACUGAUCAGCUUUAGUCAGCUACUAUAGCUCAGUUUAUUUUGUUUUAGUUUUACUUGUGUUCAGCAAAGAUUAUUGACACUGAAAAGUGAAAGCCUGAGAAGAAAUGGAGGAGCCCAGAAAAAAUACUGGAAAGAAAGAGAAAGAAGGAUUGAAAGAAAGUCAAGAGAGAAGUACGCUAAGAAGCUGAGCAGAGACUAUUUCUGAAAGAAUUUCCCUGUUUUUUCCUGCUAAAUGACGUUUUAAAUAAGAGGUAAGCAUAGAAAAAAUAAGUCAAACUACUUUCUAAUUUUUCUGCAAUAGACUUUUAAUGGCUUUUAUCAUUUCUGUACUGGAAAACAAAUGUUCAUAUAAGAGUAACCUGAAUUUAACUUCACAACAGUGUUCUGAGGUACGAAUGUAUAAUUAUUUCUAUUUACUAGUGGUAGCCUGAAGCACAGAUAGAUUAUAA
ensembl:lncRNA